GACGUAGGGGGCGAGCGUUGUCCGGAUUUAUUGGGCGUAAAGAGCGCGUAGGCGGCCCGGAAAGUCGGAUGUGAAAACCCGGGGCUCAACCCCGGGCCUGCAUCCGAUACUCCCGGGCUGGAGGCAGGUAGGGGAGAUCGGAAUUCCUGGUGUAGCGGUGAAAUGCGCAGAUAUCAGGAGGAACACCGGUGGCGAAGGCGGAUCUCUGGGCCUGUCCUGACGCUGAGGCGCGAAAGCUAGGGGAGCGAACAGG
rnacentral:rRNA from 1 species